UACGUAGGAUGCAAGCGUUGUCCGGAAUUAUUGGGCGUAAAGAGCGCGCAGGCGGUCUAUCAAGUCAGAUGUGAAAUAUCCCGGCUUAACCGGGAGGGGUCAUUUGAAACUGGUAGACUAGAGUACAGCAGAGGAUAGCGGAAUUCCCGGUGUAGUGGUGAAAUGCGUAGAGAUCGGCAGGAACACCCGUGGCGGAAGCGGCCACCUAGCCCGCACCUGACGCUGAGGCGCGACAGCGUGGGGAGCGAACGGG
rnacentral:rRNA from 1 species